UGAUCUGACCACAUCGCGGAAAAAUGGUAAACUACCGCACGAAGGUAAAGAUAAAGUCAUUCCGAAUCGGUAGAAACUCUAUCAAGUUUAGCUUCAAUAAAAUCAUUUCCAGCUCCUUUUUUUAGACCAUGUGAAUUCAUAGCCCACAAAUCCCAAGUCUAUUAGGCCCGCCUCAUUUAUAAGUUGGGAGAAGAAAAUUCAGAUUUCCCACAACAAGCCACGGCAAAUCAACAGUUCCAGCAAGAUUUCUAAAAUAAUUCCAACAAUUCCAACCACCCCCGUCGGAUUUACAACAAUCAUAUCCAGGGGAUGCAUUUGAAGUCUCUCACCGCUAGGCUCCACUUCUCCAUCAACAGGGGAGGGGAAUAAAAGUCUAGAAGGCAGUUCAAUGAAAGGGGCAAUGUUCAGAGAGUUUGAGGAGGCAGGAAAAGCAUAUGGGUAGGGAGAGACAAGGGGAUUCACAGAGGCUGAAGGAUCAGAUAGAUGGUGUUGAUUUAAGGUUGUGAUGGUAAUGGCUUGGGGGUGAAUCAGAUCUUCAGAAGGCAAAUUCUUAUGAUUCAAUUGAUUUUUGAGCAUUAGUUGAUGGGGAAGCUUUAGGUUAGGGUUGAGCUCAAAAUCCAUCUUGAUGAUUGUUUCCUUCAUCCUCCGUUGCUUUUUUUUUGCCAAUUGGAGCAUAGCUUGCAUCAAGGCCUUUUCAUAGUUGGAUUUGAGAAUUUUGGUUGAGAGUCUUGUAUUCACUUUUCUCUUCCUCAGCUUUGUCUUCUUUGUCACCUCUUCAUUCUUCCUUUUUUGCUGCACAGUCUGAGUUUUUAUGGUUUCAAAGUUUGUUGCCAUCUUUCCAACAUUGUCUUUCAUAAUUCUCAUCUGCACCUAACUUAUUUCUUCUUUUUCUCCAGUACCCAUAGAUAGCUUAGAUUUUUCUUUGUUAUUCUGAUAAGAUUGAACGGCCUCAAAGUGAUAUGAUCUUUUGCCUGUAGAGCCCUCUAUGGAGAGGGUUGUUUUUCCUUUCCUUCCCAGACAGUAUGCCACCUUCUUUGUUUCAUAUGUUUGUUUUCCUUUCCCUCUGUCUAAUUGAAUCUUAUUAGCUGGAGAUUUUGUACAAUAUUUUCAAUC